rnacentral:lncRNA from 1 species
AAUUGGCAGCGCGACACUCUUUGCAAAAUUGGUUCGUAGGCCAGUCACCUCCUGGAAUAUCUGUAGGAUAAAUCCAACCAUUCUCAUGUCCUCUUGAACUGGGUUCAUAAAAGCGCCAAGUCAUCAGCAUAAAGUGAUGUUCUCAUUGUGGCUGCCCGUCCCCGAAGCCGUGAGAGCAACCCAUGCUCGGUUGCCAUGUCGAAAAUCCUAUGGAGGGGCUCCAUGACGAUGAUGAAGAGGAUGGCGAUAUUGGA